AUUGAACGCUGGCGGCAUGCCUUACACAUGCAAGUCGAACGGCAGCACGGGUGCUUGCACCUGGUGGCGAGUGGCGCACGGGUGAGUAAUACAUCGGAACAUGUCCUGUAGUGGGGGAUAGCCCGGCGAAAGCCGGAUUAAUACCGCCUACGAUCCACGGAUGAAAGCGGGGGCCCUUCGGGCCUCGCGCUUUAGGGUUGGCCGAUGGCUGAUUAGCUAGUUGGUGGGGUAAAGGCCUACCAAGGCGACGAUCAGUAGCUGGUCUGAGAGGACGACCAGCCACACUGGGACUGAGACACGGCCCAGACUCCUACGGGAGGCAGCAGUGGGGAAUUUUGGACAAUGGGCGAAAGCCUGAUCCAGCAAUGCCGCGUGUGUGAAGAAGGCCUUCGGGUUGUAAAGCACUUUUGUCCGGAAAGAAAACCUUGGCUCUAAUACAGUCGGGGGAUGACGGUACCGGAAGAAUAAGCACCGGCUAACUACGUG
rnacentral:rRNA from 1 species